rnacentral:misc_RNA from 1 species
ACAAAAGAAACAGUUCCAAGUCACCCCACAAACUUCCUUGCUACGAUACAGGGAGCAGAAAAGAACCCACAUUAUUUGCAUUACAUCUGAUUAGGAAACUGAGAACAAGUAUGUCAUUGGAACCCGAAAGCAUUGUUCCUCUUAUAGCCCAUCCUUCCCUACCUCAAGGCUCAAAAACCAUGUUCUCUGCUUCACGCUUCACAGAUUCAAAAAGCACAGAUGAU